rnacentral:rRNA from 1 species
GAGUUUGAUCAUGGCUCAGAACGAACGCUGGCGGCAUGCCUAACACAUGCAAGUCGAACGGGAUCCAGGCUUCGGCCUGGUGAGAGUGGCGGACGGGUGAGUAACGCGUGGGAACCUGCCCAAUGGUCUGGGAUAACCGCGGGAAACUGCGGCUAAUACCGGAUAAGCCCGAGAGGGGAAAGAUUUAUCGCCGAUGGAGGGGCCCGCGUCCGAUUAGGUAGUUGGUGAGGUAACGGCUCACCAAGCCGACGAUCGGUAGCUGGUCUGAGAGGAUGAUCAGCCACACUGGGACUGAGAUACGGCCCAGACUCCUACGGGAGGCAGCAGUGGGGAAUAUUGGACAAUGGGGGCAACCCUGAUCCAGCAAUGCCGCGUGAGUGAUGAAGGCCUUAGGGUUGUAAAGCUCUUUUGGCGGGGACGAUGAUGACGGUACCCGCAGAAUAAGCCCCGGCUAACUUCGUGCCAGCAGCCGCGGUAAC